CAAAAGAAAUCAUUCCUUGACCACAAAAAGAGUUAGAAAGAAACCAAAUUUCUCUUAUGGAAGUAAGGUCAAUUGUCGAUGCAAAUGAUAAGCCUCAGGUGGACAAGCCAUCAGUUUCCAACAGAAGACAGGAAGACAAAAUGUUGUUCAAGUACAACAAGGGAAGGGGAAGGAGGCUUCAUGAAUAUGUUCUGCAAAGCUUUGGGCUGCUGUGGACUCUUUUCAGCUUGCCAUGAGCCUCAAACAUCUCAGACCAAACGCACAAAGGCAAUUGCAUGAUCUGUUCUCAUCUGCUGGCAUUCAAUGGUGUGAGGAAAGAACAUGCCAAAAUUAUGUCUAUUUCUCUAACAAAUUUAUGUAAUGGGGGAGGCCACUAUGAGCAAGUGCAUGUAGUAACCUUGUCUUCCAUGGAAGACACAUAAUAUAUUCUUGGGGUCCUCAAAAUGCUGUUGAAUUUAAGAAUAUUGGAAGUCAUAGAAUGAAGCAAGAUUGUUGGGAA